UACGUAGGGGGGCUAGCGUUGUCCGGAAUCAUUGGGCGUAAAGCGCGUGUAGGCGGUCCGGUAAGUCCGCUGUGAAAGUCGGGGGCUCAACCCUCGGAUGCCGAUCGAUACUGUCGGGCUAGAGUCCGGAAGAGGCGAGUGGAAUUCCUGGUGUAGCGGUGAAAUGCGCAGAUAUCAGGAGGAACACCGGUGGCGAAGGCGGGUCUCUGGGCCGAUACUGACGCUGAGGAGCGAAAGCGUGGGGAGCAAACAGG
rnacentral:rRNA from 1 species